rnacentral:rRNA from 1 species
GAUGAACGCUGGCGGCGUGCCUAAUACAUGCAAGUCGAGCGAACGGACGAGAAGCUUGCUUCUCUGAUGUUAGCGGCGGACGGGUGAGUAACACGUGGAUAACCUACCUAUAAGACCGGGAUAACUUCGGGAAACCGGAGCUAAUACCGGAUAAUAUUUUGAACCGCAUGGUUCAAAAGUGAAAGACGGUCUUGCUGUCACUUAUUGAUGGAUCCGCGCUGCAUUAGCUAGUUGGUAAGGUAACGGCUUACCAAGGCAACGAUGCAUAGCCGACCUGAGAGGGUGAUCGGCCACACUGGAACUGAGACACGGUCCAGACUCCUACGGGAGGCAGCAGUAGGGAAUCUUCCGCAAUGGGCGAAAGCCUGACGGAGCAACGCCGCGUGAGUGAUGAAGGUCUUCGGAUCGUAAAACUCUGUUAUUAGGGAAGAACAUAUGUGUAAGUAACUGUGCACAUCUUGACGGUACCUAAUCAGAAAGCCACGGCUAACUACGUG